rnacentral:lncRNA from 1 species
CCCCUCAUGAAAAAUUAGUAGCACAUAUAAUUCAUCCUCCAAUAUUAUUUUGGACCAGCAUCAAUAAUCAUAAUUCUUUUCUCUAAUUUUCCCUUCUUCACUCUUUACUAAUGAGCAUUGUAUAGACGAGUUUCUCCCUGUGGCUGGCCACUUCCUUUUGUUGUCACACGCCAAUCCCUCUCCUCAUGCAAGAAUAUAUACUACUAUUAAUUUCUCUCACUCCAUAUCACUUAUGUUUGCUUCUUUAAUCCAUUCCUUCAGUUGCAUGCAUGGACAUUACAACCAGACACAUUUUAUUUUCCUAUCCCUCAUCAUGUGAACAAAGCACCAUAUUGUCCCCCUAUGGCGCAUCCUCCUCUUCCUCCAUGCAAAAAUUAGAGCAGUAGUAAUUCUCUUCUCUUAAAUCCUUGUGCCAUCUCAUCUGCAUGCCUUCCUUCAUUCUCUCUUUAAUCCACUCCAAAUAGCAACCAUCCCUACUUUCUUUUUCAUCCACAUACACAGCAGCACCUCGGCAU